CAGGACGAACGCUGGCGGCGUGCUUAACACAUGCAAGUCGAACGAGGCCCAAGCGUCAGCAAUGACGUGGAAGGCCUAGUGGCGAACGGGUGAGUAACACGUGAGGAACCUACCCCGGACUCAGGGAUAACAGACGGAAACAUCUGCUAAUACCUGAUGCCGUCGGAGCAUCACAUGGUGCACUGACGAAAGAAUCUCGGUUCGGGAGGGCCUCGCGGCCUAUCAGCUAGUUGGUGGGGUAACGGCCUACCAAGGCAUCGACGGGUAGCUGGUCUGAGAGGAUGAUCAGCCACACUGGGACUGAGACACGGCCCAGACUCCUACGGGAGGCAGCAGUGGGGAAUCUUGCGCAAUGGGCGAAAGCCUGACGCAGCAACGCCGCGUGCGGGAAGAAGGCCUUAGGGUUGUAAACCGCUUUCAGUAGGAACGAAAAUGACGGUACCUGCAGAAGAAGGUGCGGCCAACUACGUGCCAGCAGCCGCGGUGACACGUAGGCACCAAGCGUUGUCCGGAUUUAUUGGGCGUAAAGAGCUCGUAGGCGGUUCAGUAAGUCGGGUGUGAAAACUCUGGGCUUAACCCAGAGCCGCCACUCGAUACUGCUGUGACUUGAGUUCGGUAGGGGAGCAGGGAAUUCCUAGUGUAGCGGUGAAAUGCGCAGAUAUUAGGAGGAACACCGGUGGCGAAGGCGCUGCUCUGGGCCGAUACUGACGCUGAGGAGCGAAAGCGUGGGUAGCAAACAGGAUUAGAUACCCUGGUAGUCCACGCCGUAAACGUUGGGCACUAGGUGUGGGUUCCAACCAACGGAAUCCGCGCCGUCGCUAACGCAUUAAGUGCCCCGCCUGGGGAGUACGGCGGC
rnacentral:rRNA from 1 species